rnacentral:rRNA from 1 species
CUUCUGGAGCGCGCUUACCACUUUGUGAUUCAUGACUGUGGUGAAGUCGUAACAAGGUAACCGUAGGGGAACCUGCGUUUUGAUCACCUCCUUACCUUAAAGAA